CACUUCCGCUUCCUGCCGGGAAUCGAGGGGCGGGACUUCCACAUCAGACGGCGGAACAGGGCUUCCCUCGAGCGUGGGCUUCGCGCUGGGCCUGAGGCCUGGAUCCUGCCCGGAGGACAAGGCUGGGGCAGGAACCAGGCAUGGUUAUAAAGUUGCUCCCCUAAUCACGUUUGCUGUGGUUUUCAUUGGAUGGCCUUUGUGCAGGACUGAGGGUCACAUCUAUUCAAGAGUUAGUGGAGGGGAAUGGGAGGGAAUGGAGGAAAUGGGUGAAGGGGAUAAGAGAUACAGUCUUUGAGUUAUAAAUAAAAUAAUGAAGACAAGA